UACGUAGGGGGCGAGCGUUGUCCGGAUUUAUUGGGCGUAAAGAGCUCGUAGGCGGCUUAGCAAGUCGGGUGUGAAAACUCCAGGCUCAACCUGGAGACGCCACUCGAGACUGCUAUGGCUAGAGUCCGGUAGGGGACCACGGAAUUCCUGGUGUAGCGGUGAAAUGCGCAGAUAUCAGGAGGAACACCGGUGGCGAAGGCGGUGGUCUGGGCCGGAACUGACGCUGAGGAGCGAAAGCGUGGGGAGCAAACAGG
rnacentral:rRNA from 1 species